AUGACUCAAAUUUGUAUGGAGUUGGAACAGCUUCCCUUCGUUUGCCGCUAGGGGCGCUGUUCCAACUCCAUACAAAGAGUUA
rnacentral:pre_miRNA from 1 species